rnacentral:Y_RNA from 1 species
UGUUGGUCCGAGUGCAGUGGUGUUUACAGCUAAUUGAUCACAACCAAUUACAGAUUCCUUUGUUCCUUCUCCAUUCCCACUGCUUCACAUGACCAGUGUUAA